AAAACAUCGCCUCUUGCCAAAAAACUAUAAGAGGUCCUGCCUGCCCUGUGACAUAAUGUUCAACGGCCGCGGUAUCUUGACCGUGUGAAGGUAGCGUAAUCAUUUGUCUUUUAAAUGAAGACCUGUAUGAAUGGCGUAACGAGAGCUUAACUGUCUCACUCUUUUAGUCAAUGAAAUUGAUCUCCCCGUGCAGAAGCGAGGAUAAAUACAUAAGACGAAAAGACCCUAUGGAGCUUAAGAAUCUAAAGCAGCCCAAACAAAUCAAACAAAUAAAGGACCCUGCUUUCACAUUUCUUCGGUUGGGGCGACCAUGGAGAAAAACAAAACCUCCACGAAAAAAAUACCAAUAAUUGUAUGAAUUAACGAAACACAAAUCUAAAUUCCAGAAUGUCUGUUUAUAAAUGAUCCGGCUAUAUCUUUAAGCCGACCAACGGAUCAAGUUACCCUAGGGAUAACAGCGC
rnacentral:rRNA from 1 species